AACGUAGGUUCCGAGCGUUAUCCGGAUUUACUGGGCGUAAAGCGCGUUCAGGCGGUUUGGCAAGUCGGGCAUGAAAUCUCUCGGCUCAACCGGGAGAGGUUGUCCGAUACUGCUGGACUUGAGGGCAGUAGAGGGUGGUGGAAUUCCGGGUGUAGUGGUGAAAUGCGUAGAUAUCCGGAGGAACACCAGUGGCGAAAGCGGCCACCUGGACUGCACCUGACGCUGACACACGAAAGCUAGGGGAGCGAACGGG
rnacentral:rRNA from 1 species